rnacentral:lncRNA from 1 species
UUGAAAUUCCCAUGAAAUGGGGACGCUUCUCUUCACCCAGUGCCACCGCACGUUAAGUACCAGAAGGCUGCCUGUUCUUCCACGAGUACAGAUUGAGAUGCUCAGAGCCCCGGUCAGAACAACAGCGGAACAGUUGGGGGACACUUGAGCCAGGAAUUAGACGAAGGAUGCGUCUCCUGCUUUGUUGUUGGAACUGGCCCUAGAUCACUCACAAACUGUGCUGGUGGAGGACGGCAGAGCAGAGGGAUCUUCCUUCAGGUUGCUCUCCAAGAAGUGGGUAAAGGCUGUUUCUUCACGCCCAAUUAUUACUGGAAGAGCUGCUUCCCUCUCAUCUCAUUCAAUUCUCUAAUUCGACACAUGAGAAACUCUCGACCCAGAGCUUUCAAGCAGUUUCCCUUAGGUAGGAAGUCGGUAGAUAGGAGGUCAGUAGGUAGCAAAUAGGUAGGUAGGUAGAAUGGAAGUGGGUAGGUGGUACAUAGGUAGGAGGGAGGGAGGCAGGUAGGAGGGAGGUGGGCACUCUGCCAGGAACCAGGUCGCCUCGUCCAGCUGUAGCUAGACUUCUCUAUAAGCACGUGAAGAGAUCACUAAAGGAUUUAGACAAUUUGUGUACGGAAGCUUCUCAGUUCAUUCUUAAAAUAGCUAUGUGGCUGUCUGAGGUGUUUGGCUAAAUUGUGAGAAAGAAUAUCCUUGAGACUUUGGGCAUAGCCCUAAAGAGGUGAUUUGCGAGAAUGUCUUGUAUUAUCCUCUCCUGUUUUUCUCAAUGUUCUUUAAACUUUACAUUUAUAAAAAAGCAAAAGAAAGUGAUGUUAUGACUUUUUCCAG